AGUCGAGCGGGUAGCACAGUAGAGCUUGCUCUCGGGUGACGAGCGGCGGACGGGUGAGUAAUGUCUGGGAAACUGCCUGAUGGAGGGGGAUAACUACUGGAAACGGUAGCUAAUACCGCAUAACGUCGCAAGACCAAAGUGGGGGACCUUCGGGCCUCAUGCCAUCAGAUGUGCCCAGAUGGGAUUAGCUGGUAGGUGGGGUAACGGCUCACCUAGGCGACGAUCCCUAGCUGGUCUGAGAGGAUGACCAGCCACACUGGAACUGAGACACGGUCCAGACUCCUACGGGAGGCAGCAGUGGGGAAUAUUGCACAAUGGGCGCAAGCCUGAUGCAGCCAUGCCGCGUGUGUGAAGAAGGCCUUCGGGUUGUAAAGCACUUUCAGNGGGGAGNAAGNCGKUGAGNUUANUANCCUCNUCGAUNGACGUUACCNGCAGANGANGCACCGNCUAAYUCNGUGCCAGCAGCNGCGNUAAUACGGAGGNUGCAAGCGUUAWUSGGANUUACUGGNCGUAAAGCGCACGCAGGCGGUCUGUCAAGUCGGAUGUGAAAUCCCCGGGCUCAACCUGGGAACUGCAUUCGAAACUGGCAGGCUAGAGUCUUGUAGAGGGGGGUAGAAUUCCAGGUGUAGCGGUGAAAUGCGUAGAGAUCUGGAGGAAUACCGGUGGCGAAGGCGGCCCCCUGGACAAAGACUGACGCUCAGGUGCGAAAGCGUGGGGAGCAAACAGGAUUAGAUACCCUGGUAGUCCACGCUGUAAACGAUGUCGAUUUGGAGGUUGUGCCCUUGAGGCGUGGCUUCCGGAGCUAACGCGUUAAAUCGACCGCCUGGGGNAGUACGGCCGCAAGGUUAAAACUCAAAUGAAUUGACNGGGGGCCCGCACAAGCGGUGGARCAUGUGGUUNAAUUCGAUGCAMCGCGAAGAACYUUACNUGGUCUUGACWUCCACAGAACUUASCARARAUGCUUUGNUGCCUUCSGGAACUGUGARACAGGUGCUGCAUGGCUGUCGUCAGCUCGUGUUGUGAAAUGUUGGGUUAAGUCCCGCAACGAGCGCAACCCUUAUCCUUUGUUGCCAGCGGUUAGGCCGGGAACUCAAAGGAGACUGCCAGUGAUAAACUGGAGGAAGGUGGGGAUGACGUCAAGUCAUCAUGGCCCUUACGACCAGGGCUACACACGUGCUACAAUGGCAUAUACAAAGAGAAGCGACCUCGCGAGAGCAAGCGGACCUCAUAAAGUAUGUCGUAGUCCGGAUUGGAGUCUGCAACUCGACUCCAUGAAGUCGGAAUCGCUAGUAAUCGUAGAUCAGAAUGCUACGGUGAAUACGUUCCCGGGCCUUGUACACACCGCCCGUCACACCAUGGGAGUGGGUUGCAAAAGAAGUAGGUAGCUUAACCUUCGGGAGG
rnacentral:rRNA from 1 species